UACGGGGGGAGCAAGCGUUGUUCGGAUUUACUGGGCGUAAAGGGCGCGUAGGCGGCCAGCACAAGUCAGUUGUGAAAUCUCCGAGCUUAACUCGGAAAGGUCAACUGAUACUGUGCGGCUAGAGUGCGGAAGGGGCAACUGGAAUUCUUGGUGUAGCGGUGAAAUGCGUAGAUAUCAAGAGGAACACCUGCGGCGAAGGCGGGUUGCUGGGACGACACUGACGCUGAGGUGCGAAAGCGUGGGGAGCAAACAGG
rnacentral:rRNA from 1 species